UUGGGCUGUUGGGUGAAUUAACAACAUCAGUGCAUUGUGAAAUAGCUUUCUACUUAGAUCAGAUGAGGUCUUCUAGGUACAAACUACCAAAAAAAUCACUCAUCAGCAAGAAUGGCUAUGGAGCACAGGGCCCCAGAGAGCACAAAAAUACACAGUGUGGGCAGAUCAACAGCCACCUGUGAGUUUUUUUCUCUGGCAGCUGACCACAAAAGCCACACUGCCUGGGAACUCAAAGCUGUAUAAAGGUUCUAAGAACUCUUAAAUCCUGACUGGGAUCAGAGUUGUGUUGUGCUGUGAAACAGAUAUGUCCUCACGGUGUUAGAAACUUCUCUAGCUUACAGAUCUUUCUAGUAACACUGAAAAUGUUACUGGGUAGACAAUGACUGUAACAUGGAAGACUGAGCAGUCCGAAAGUCAUCCACAGCUACCACAGCUACCAGUUUCCUGAAGCUGGUAUCACCAGUGUAGGAGUAAGCCCUUGCUCUCAAAGGUGACUGGAUGAGAACCCCAUGGAGGCCACUUGGAGCAGCCUUUAUUCCCACUGUAACUCUCAUUUUGUGCUACACUCAGAACCUGCAUCCCUAUUUCGCCACAUGUUCCCUUAUGUACACUAGGGGAUAAUAACAAAUUAUUGAAAUCAUAAGAGUGAGUACAGAGCUCCCAGAAUGGAAACCCCACUGAAUUCAAGAUCUGACACAAGCAGGACAAAACCAAUUUUUAGAUCAUAAUGCUCACCAUUAACCUGUAUGAUAAAAAAUUGUCCUUGUCUUUAGCUGCUGUCAGGCCAUUCAGCUGUGUUUGUUACCAUCCUCCUCCCUUCUAUGGAGAGAUGUCCACUGCAGAGUUAUCUCAGACACAGCAGAGUUAAAUCUGAUCUGUUUUCACUGCAGUCUCAUCAUCAAUAAACUCAUUCAAAUGGAGUAAAGGCUGCAUAGGAACAUACUGCUUUUUGAUGAACUCUUUCCCCAUUGACUUGUCUUGCCCACUGCCUUGUCAUGAAGAACAUCUUUUCAUCUGAUCACAGUGGUAGCUCUUUAUAGCUUUGGACUUGUAUUGCACCCAGGUACUGUUUACCAUUUUAAACUGACAAAUUUCAAGUCAAUAAGAGAUUCAAUUUUGUAUUAGUACUGUGGAGUACCCCAAUUCUCAAAAUCAUGUAAUGUUUAAAACGGCCAAAUAUAUCCCAAUUUACCUUCUCAGUGAUGUGAAGUUAGCAGUGUUAAAACUUACUUUUUAAAACUAUUUUUGAAGUAUUAAGUAAAAUCAGUUAUUGUGGAACUUUACUUGUAAAUCCCCUGCCAACCCAAUGUUUCAACUUUUGAUUUUCCCCUUCAGACAGUUUGAAUAAAACCAAACAUGUUUAAUG